rnacentral:rRNA from 1 species
GAAUAUUGGACAAUGGGGGCAACCCUGAUCCAGCCAUUUCGCGUGUGUGAUGAAGGCCUUCGGGUUGUAAAGCACUUUUGGCAGGAAAGAAAUCGCGCGGGCUAAUAUCCUGCGUGGAUGACGGUACCUGCAGAAUAAGCACCGGCUAACUACGUGCCAGCAGCCGCGGUAAUACGUAGGGUGCAAGCGGUAAUCGGAAUUACUGGGCGUAAAGGGUGCGCAGGCGGUUCGGAAAGAAGGAUGUGAAAUCCCAGGGCUCAACCUUGGAAUGGCAUUCUUAACUACCGGGCUAGAGUGUGUCAGAGGGGGGUGGAAUUCCGCGUGUAGCAGUGAAAUGCGUAGAGAUGCGGAGGAACACCGAUGGCGAAGGCAGCCCCCUGGGAUAACACUGACGCUCAGGCACGAAAGCGUGGGUAGCAAACA